rnacentral:tRNA from 1 species
GGGCGGUUAGCUCAGUGGAAGAGCGUCUCGUUUACACCGAGAAGGUCGUAGGUUCAAGUCCUACACCGCCCACCA